CUCAAUUUAUGGGUGGUAUUUUAGCUAAGAUUAAGUGUAGUAUUUGUUCUUAUCAGCUUAAUAUCUGAUAUAAAUAAUUAAAUUAAUUUUUUUUUAUGAAGUAGAGUCCAUUACUCGCAUGCGUUUAUAUAUUAUUUUACACAUGCAACUAGGGACGAAGCCAUGUAUAGCUUUGGUGAGGCAACUACCCCAC